AGUGAAAGUAUAAAGUCAGACUUGUCAGAGCGCCAGACUCCAUUUUACAGCUCGAAGAGCAGGAGGAGAACAGGUUUUAGUGGUGUAUCUCUCAGACUGGAGAAGAUGAGUGGUUUAAAAGAUGAGGAAGAGGACACAUCUUCAGUCUCCAGCUGUCUGUCUCUGAAGAGUGACUGGUCUAAAGAUAUACCUCUAACCUUCAGUAAAGAACCUGGACCCUCAGACACAAAACAGAGAGCAGAGUCUCCAGUCCCCAGCUGUCUGUCUCUGAAGAGUGACCGGUCUAAAGAGGAAAAUCCAUACUUCAGUAAUGAACCUGGACCCUCAGACACAAAACAGAGAGCAGAGUCUCCAGUCCCCAGCUGUCUGUCUCUGAAGAGUGACCGGUCUAAAGAGGAAAAUCCAUACUUCAGUAAUGAACCUGGACCCUCAGACACAAAACAGAGAGCAGAGUCUCCAGUCCCCAGCUGUCUGUCUCUGAAGAGUGACUGGUCUAAAGAGGAAAAUCCAUACUUCAGUAAUGAACCUGGACCCUCAGACACAAAAGGGAAGAGGCAGAGUGGUGUUCCUGUGGAGGAGCAGCUGUCCAGCUGUGCUCUGUGUCAGGACGUCCUGAAGGAUCCAGUCUCUACCAGCUGUGGACACUGGUUCUGCAGACAGUGCAUCACCUCAUACUGGGAGCAGAGACCUCCAUCAGGAGACCCCUUCUGUCCCCAGUGUGGAGAAAGACCCAGAACCAGAGCUGGACUGCAGACAGCCAGUCAGACCAGAACUGUACGAGCAGAACGUGGUCUGCAGGAGGUUCUAGAUGAACAUAGGCUCAGUCUGAGGAGGAGAUGUGAACGUGUGACUGAAGGAACUGAUCAAAGUGAAACCCUCCUCAACAGCAUCUUCACUGAGCUCUACAUCACACAAGGCCAGAGUGAAGAGGUUAAUACCCAACAUGAGGUGAGGCAGCUGGAGACAGCUUCCAAGAAGAAGCCCCUCCAUGACACUCCAAUCAAGUGCCAGGACAUCUUCAAAGCCUUACCUGACCAACAGACUCUCAUCAGAGCGGUCCUGACCAACGGAGUCGCUGGAGUUGGAAAAACCUUCUCAGUGCAGAAGUUCACUCUGGACUGGGCCGAGGGUUUGGGAAACCAAGAUGUCAGUCUGGUGAUCCCGCUCUCCUUCAGGGAGCUGAACCUGAUCAAAGGUGAGCAGUACAGUCUUCUCAGGCUGCUUCAUGUUUUCCAUCCAACCUUACAGAAGGUCACAGCAGAGCAGCUGGCUGUCUGCAAAGUGCUGCUCAUCUUUGACGGCCUGGAUGAAAGCAGACUUUCUCUGGACUUCAGAAACAAUGAGGUUGUGUCUGAUGUCUCUCAGCAGUCCUCAGUCAACGUGCUGCUGACAAACCUCAUCAGGGGGAAGCUGCUUCCCUCGGCUCUCGUCUGGAUAACUUCCAGACCUGCAGCGGCCAAUCAGAUCCCUCCUGAGUGUGUGGACAGGGUGACAGAAGUACGAGGCUUCACUGACGCCCAGAAGGAGGAGUACUUCAGGAGGAGAUCGAGUGAUGAAGACCUGUCCAGCAGAAUCAUCUCUCACAUCAAGAGCUCCAGGAGCCUCCACAUCAUGUGUCUGAUCCCAGUCUUCUGCUGGAUCACUGCUGCAGUUCUGGACCACAUGUUGACUACAGACCAGAGAGGAGAGCUGCCCCAGACCCUCACUGACAUGUACUCACACUUCCUGCUGGUCCAGACCAAGAGGAAGAAGCAGAAGUACGAAGAGGGACAUGAGACGAGUCCACAGCAGCUGACGGAGGCUGACAGGGAGCUUCUUCUGAAGCUGGGGAGGCUGGCGUUUGAACAUCUGGAGAAAGGAGACAUCAUGUUCUACCAAGAAGACCUGCAGCGCUGUGGCCUUGAUGUCAACGAGGCCUUGGUGCACUCAGGAGUUUGUACACAGAUCUUCAAAAGAGAGAGUGUGAUCUUCCAGAAAACAGUCUACUGCUUUGUUCAUCUGAGCGUUCAGGAGUUUCUGGCUGCAGUCUACAUGUUGCACUGUUACACCAACAGAGACACAGCGGUACUGAAGGACUUCCUGAGGAGAGACUAUAACAUCAGUGAUCAGGAUUACCCAUCCCUGGAUGUCUUCCUGGAGGGAGCCGUGGAGAUAUCCCUCCAAAGUGAAAAUGGCCACCUGGACCUGUUUGUCCGCUUUCUCCACGGCCUCUCUCUGGAGUCCAACCAGAGACUGUUAGGAGGCCUGCUGGGUCGCACAGACAACAGACCAGAAACCAUCCAGAGAGCCAUCAGCAACCUGAAGGAGAUGAGAAGUUAUGAUUCCUCUCCUGACAGGAAGAUCAACAUCUUCCACUGUCUGACAGAGAUGAAGGACCUCUCAGUACAUCAGGAGAUCACAGAGUUCCUGAAGUCAGAGAACAGAUCAAAGAAGGAACUCUCUGUGAUCCACUGCUCUGCUCUGGCCUACAUGCUGCAGAUGUCAGAGGAGGUUCUGGAUGAGUUGGACCUGAUGAAGUACAACACAUCAUGGGAGGGACGAUGGAGACUGAUUCCAGCUGUGAGGAACUGCAGGAAGUUCAAACUUACUACUUACUAUGGACUCUCAGAGAGUAUCUGUGAAGUCGUGGCCUCAGCUCUGAAGUCUGACCCCUCCCAUCUGAGAGAUCUGGACCUGACUCUCAACGCUCUGGAUGGAUUCAGCAGUGGAGCUGCUGAUUUCUGGACUGAAGAGUCCAAACUGCAGACUGGAGGCUCUCAGACUGAGGGGCUGCAGUUUGUCAGAGAUCAGCUGUUCUGCUCUGAUCUCAGCUCUGAAGUCCAACCUCCAUCUGAGAGAGCUGGACCUGAGAGAUAACGAUCUGCAGGAUUCAGGAGUGGAGCUGCUGAGAGAUCUUCUGGAGAGUCCAGACUGCAGACUGGAGACCCUCAGGAUCAAUGAUGAGACGAUCAGAGCCAAGAUCCAGAAGACCUGAACUCCCAUCCCCCGAGUCCUGUGGCAGGAAGCGCUCCUUCUCUCCAAGAACUCCUGGACCCUGCAAGCUGGUCCAGAACCAGAGUCCCAGUGAGGAGUCCAGCCAGUCGACCUCUCAGAGUUCAACUAAACUACAACAUUAUUAAAGAUCAUGUUUAAAGUUAAAAAAGGAUGCUUUCAGAUUGUAUCCAGAAGUUUCUCAAAAUACAGUCAAAGCUUACAAAAAAACAAAACUAUAAUAAGAAUUAAUCUGAAUACUUUCUUUGGACAUUUUUUUGAAACAAAUAUUUUAAAUGUUUCUGACUUUCUAUCCGAGUGCUUUUCUCAUGAAUUAACGACUUAAAUCUUCUUUCUUUUCUUGUGUAUUUCAUAAUCCUACAGGAUAUCAGAUUUUUUUUUCAUGUAACUUUAAGACUAUAUAUUAUUUUCUCAGCUCUGUAAUAAAAAAACACAUUUAAAAAAUAAA